rnacentral:precursor_RNA from 1 species
AUUCCAACACUACACACCCACCUAGCCUGGCAACCAGCCGCCGACCUCCUAUCUACCAUGGAUAUGUGCCUUGGAGCCAAAAGAUCCAUCACCAAUCUUUUCCCUCUUCUAUACCUCCUCAUGCCGCGGCAUGGAUCUCCUUGUUCGUUUGUCAUCUAGGAGUAUCUGGCUAGGUCGCC